rnacentral:rRNA from 1 species
UUGACGGUACCCUACUAGAAAGGAGCCGCUAACUUCGUGCCAGAAGCGUCGGUAAUACGGGGGCUCCAAGCGUUAUCCGGUGUUAUUGGGCGUAAAGAGUCGUGUAGGUGGUUGGGUAAGUUAUCUUUCAAAUAUCUUUGCUUAACAAAGAGGAGGGGGAUAAUACUGCUCGACUAGAAUUUUCUCAAGGGAGAUCGGAACUGAGGGAGGAGUAGUGAAAUGCGUUGAUACCCUCGGGAACACCAGUGGCGUAGGCGGAUCUCUGGGAGAAGAUUGACACUGAGACACGAAAGCUAGGGGAGCGAAGCAGAUUAGAGACCUGCGUAGUCCUAGCCGUAAACGCAUGCUUGCUAGCUGCAUGAAUCUACCUUCGGGUGGUAUCGUGUGGCGAAGGUAACCCGUUAAGCAAGCCGCCUGGAAAGUACGGCCGCAAGGCUGAAAUUCAAAGGAAUUGGCGGGGAGGCACACAACCAGUGGAACAUGUGGUUUAAUUCGAGACUAACCGAAGAACCUCACCAGGGUUUGACAUGUAGCUGCACGUCUUAAGAAAUUAAGACUCUCUUGAAGGUGCUACACAGGUGCUGCAUGGCUGUCGUCAGCUCGUUCCGUGAGGAGUGCCCUUAAGUGGGACAACGAGCGCAACCCCUAUUACAUGUUAGAAAUGUCAUGUAAGACUGCCUUGCCAUUUGGCGGGGAGGAAGGAGGGGCAGACGUCAAGUCCGCAUGGUCCUUAUGCCCUGGGCUACACACAUGUUACAAUGAGUACGGCAAUGAGUCUGUCGCGAGCACGUAAGUGUAAGCUAAUCUCUUAAAUGUACUCUCAGUGGGGAUUGAGGUCUGCAACUCGACCUCAUGA